CUUGGUCAUUUAGAGGAAGUAAAAGUCGUAACAAGGUUUCCGUAGGUGAACCUGCGGAAGGAUCAUUAGUGAACGCCCUCACGGGCUUAUAACUAUUCCAAACCUCUGUGAACCGUGCCCUUCGGGGCUAUUUUACAAACAUGGUGUAAUGAACGUCAUAUAUCAUAACAAAACAAAACUUUCAACAACGGAUCUCUUGGCUCUCGCAUCGAUGAAGAACGCAGCGAAAUGCGAUAAGUAAUGUGAAUUGUAGAAUUCAGUGAAUCAUCGAAUCUUUGAACGCACCUUGCGCCCUCUGGUAUUCCGGAGGGCAUGCCUGUUUGAGUGUCAUGUAGACUCAAUCCCUCGGGUUUCCGAGGAGAUUGGACUUGGGUGUUGCCGCUCUGCCGGCUCGCCUUAAAAGACUUAGCGGGAUAGCACCGUAGUCGGCGUAAUAAGUUUCGUCGGUGAAGGUUGUGAUGAUUGCUUACAAUCGCCCUCGGGCAAUUUUUGACUCUGACCUCAAAUCAGGUAGGACUACCCGCUGAACUUAAGCAUAUCAAUAAGCGGAGGA
rnacentral:rRNA from 1 species